rnacentral:rRNA from 1 species
AUUGAACGCUGGCGGAAUGCUUUACACAUGCAAGUCGAACGGCAGCACGGGGGCAACCCUGGUGGCGAGUGGCGAACGGGUGAGUAAUACAUCGGAACGUGCCCAAUCGUGGGGGAUAACGUAGCGAAAGCUACGCUAAUACCGCAUACGAUCUACGGAUGAAAGCGGGGGACCGAAAGGCCUCGCGCGAUUGGAGCGGCCGAUGUCAGAUUAGGUAGUUGGUGGGGUAAAGGCUCACCAAGCCAACGAUCUGUAGCUGGUCUGAGAGGACGACCAGCCACACUGGGACUGAGACACGGCCCAGACUCCUACGGGAGGCAGCAGUGGGGAAUUUUGGACAAUGGGCGCAAGCCUGAUCCAGCAAUGCCGCGUGCAGGAAGAAGGCCUUCGGGUUGUAAACUGCUUUUGUACGGAACGAAAAGGCUCUGGUUAAUACCUGGGGCUCAUGACGGUACCGUAAGAAUAAGCACCGGCUAACUACGUGCCAGCCGCCGCAGUAACAC